rnacentral:tRNA from 1 species
AAGUAGUUAGUCUAAAAAAAAUAUUUGAUUUCGGCUCAAAAGUCUGUGGUUAAAACCCACAACUACUUA